CUCUUUGGACUUUAACUGACAAUGUGAAUGAUUUGGGGAUGUGGGGAAGAGGAUUCCUGAUAUGUCUGUAUAAAGCAGAGCAUAGGAACAGGGGACUAUAGCGAGAGCUAAAAGAGCUUUAAGAGACCACAUAGUCCAAACAGUCUAUUUUACAAAUGAGGGAAUUAAGUUCCAGGGAUACAUGACUUAUUCAAGGUCACAGAUGUGGGAUUUGAACUCAAGACUUCAGACUCUGAUGCCAAAUGCUCUCUAUACCAUUCUAGUGUCUUCAAACAAGAAAGAAAUGAUGUUAGUCCUGAAUGCACAGAAGAAAUUAGGGGAUGAGAUGAAUGGUCCUAAACUAUGUAAAAACCAAAGGCAGAUCCUUGAUGGCAGACCCCAGACAAAGCUACAACCUUGGAAGAACUCUGCAUCAGAAAUGACAGAACAGAAACAACUCAGCACCCCAAAGAAGGAAAGUGUCCAUC
rnacentral:lncRNA from 1 species